rnacentral:tRNA from 2 species
UGGGGGAUCGUCUAGCGGCAGGACAACGGACUCUGACUCCGUGAACCUAGGUUCAAAUCCUAGUCCCCCAGCCA